UGAAUAAUCAUAUAUAGAAUAUCUUUCUUUACCAGAAAAACUGUAGGUUUUAUUUAUUUUUAAUGAGAAAUAUUUAACAUUUAUUAAUUUGGACUUUAAUAUAAAUAUGAUGUACUUUAGAGGCAGCAUUGUAACAGGAAAUCAGGAUAUCCCUGCUUUGCUCUUCUUUUUUCUUCUCUACAUGAUUUAGUUUUUAAUUUCUGCUCAUUUUCCUUAACUUGAAAAUGGAUUGUACCUUCUCUCUCCUUACAUCAUUUUUGUCAUUGUCUUCUCUUUUGUCUAUUGCAUAUUUGCCAAAUGGUAAGCUGUACUCUACAAGGUAUCCACAUAAAGUAGUAUAAGCACAAAUGAAAAUUUUGCAGGAUUUUAAAAUGAUCAUUAAACACAUAAUUUUACUUUUCCCUAUUGUCUUUUCUAUUCCAAAAAGUAAUUUUUACAAAUGGAUAACUGUCCAGCUUUGUCUUUUUGUUAGGGAUUAAAUCUGUGCCGACAGUUCUUUUUGACAGUGACCUUGAGGGGCUUUGCAUCUUGAAGAAGAAAGCAGAAGCUUGCGGUAAACAAAGUUCACUUCUGACAGAUGGAUUGAAUGACAGAAAGGUUGUGAGUGCCAGAAUAGCCCUGGCAGAGGAGGAAAUGUUCAGUGGAAUCCAACAGGAGAGGAGGUGUGAACAGGUGCAGGGUUGCUGACGGAAGGGGAACCAGAUGGAAGGAGCCAGAGCCAGUUUAUUUAAAGGAAAAGGCAGAAAACACUGAAAGACUGUACAAUCAGUGGCUAAAAGUGUGCAUAGAAGAAGAGGCAUACAUUCUGCUGUGCUCAGACUGGAACAUGCACGUUUCCCACUGACUGUUUAUAUGCCAUCCUCGCACAGAGCCAUAGGGAGAAGUGGAGCCAUUGAGGACAUGGAUGUGGUGUGUCACAUACACAUAAGGAUGGUUGAACAAUGAUGAGAAAUGGGAAUGGGAUCAGCAGAGUUCCCAUUGCUCUGAUUGAGACAAAAGGAAGAAUAAGGAAUACCAGCUGUUAGGAAUUGUGGGAGUUGCAAUCCAAAACACCUGGAGUGCCAAAGUUUGCCCAUGCCUGCUUUUGACAGUGUUUUCCAUUAUAUUCUUCCAAACAAGCUAGUAAAGUGUGGGCUGGUCAAUGCUAUUGGGAGAGCUGAAAUGUGGGCCUAUGGAUUGGGGAGCCCUCCUGACCCCGCUCCCCACAACUUUUUUUUAGUAUCACUUGAGCCUGAUGAAUUCUGGAGAACUUGACAUUACUAUCCCAUUUGUGUACAUUUGGUCCCAAUUAAAAGCACUUCUUGAUUUGAUUUUGUUAAUUUGAUUAUGCAUUUGUUAUGUCUUUGCUCAUAUACUAGUGUGCUCAAAAUAUAAUAUAAAGUUGGCUUUAUGGUGUUUCAACUUGCAAGAAUUGUUCUGAUUAAUUUUCAAUGUUUUAUUUAUUGUUUUGUUACUAAGGAUUGGAUGAGAAUUAAAAUGAUUAUUUAGUAUCACAAAAUUCAAAAUCUGCCUUAUUGGAAUAUUCCCUCAAUGAAGUUGGUACUGCAUUACUAUGUGGCUUUCAGACAACUAGAGUGGCGGGGUUUAUGUGGCACACACAGUUUAACAUUUUUUUCCUAAGCGUCCACCUUUUUUAACGC